rnacentral:rRNA from 1 species
UACGUAGGGUGCAAGCGUUGCCCGGAAUUAUUGGGCGUAAAGAGCUCGUAGGCGGUCUGUUGCGUCGGCUGUGAAAACCCGGGGCUCAACUCCGGGCCUGCAGCCGAUACGGGCAGACUAGAGUUCGGCAGGGGAGACUGGAAUUCCUGGUGUAGCGGUGGAAUGCGCAGAUAUCAGGAGGAACACCGGUGGCGAAGGCGAGUCUCUGGACAGUUACUGACGCUGAGGCACGAAGGCCAGGGGAGCAAACGGG